GGAGCACGUGAAAUUCCGUCGGAAUCUGGGAGGACCAUCUCCUAAGGCUAAAUACUCUCUAGUGACCGAUAGUGAACCAGUACCGUGAGGGAAAGGUGAAAAGUACCCCGGAAGGGGAGUGAAAGAGAACUUGAAACCGUGUGCUUACAAGUAGUCAGAGCCCGUUAAUGGGUGAUGGCGUGCCUUUUGUAGAAUGAACCGGCGAGUUACGAUCUGAUGCAAGGUUAAGCAGCAAAUGUGGAGCCGCAGCGAAAGCGAGUCUGAAUAGGGCGUUGAGUAUUUGGUCGUAGACCCGAAACCAGGUGAUCUACCCUUGGUCAGGUUGAAGUUCAGGUAACACUGAAUGGAGGACCGAACCGACUUACGUUGAAAAGUGAGCGGAUGAACUGAGGGUAGCGGAGAAAUUCCAAUCGAACUUGGAGAUAGCUGGUUCUCUCCGAAAUAGCUUUAGGGCUAGCCUCAAGUGAUGAUUAUUGGAGGUAGAGCACUGUUUGGACGAGGGGCCCCUCUCGGGUUACCGAAUUCAGACAAACUCCGAAUGCCAAUUAAUUUAACUUGGGAGUCAGAACAUGGGUGAUAAGGUCCGUGUUCGAAAGGGAAACAGCCCAGACCACCAGCUAAGGUCCCAAAAUAUAUGUUAAGUGGAAAAGGAUGUGGCGUUGCCCAGACAACUAGGAUGUUGGCUUAGAAGCAGCCAUCAUUUAAAGAGUGCGUAAUAGCUCACUAGUCGAGUGACACUGCGCCGAAAAUGUACCGGGGCUAAACAUAUUACCGAAGCUGUGGAUUGUCCUUUGGACAAUGGUAGGAGAGCGUUCUAAGGGCGUCGAAGCAUGAUCGCAAGGACAUGUGGAGCGCUUAGAAGUGAGAAUGCCGGUGUGAGUAGCGAAAGACGGGUGAGAAUCCCGUCCACCGAUUGACUAAGGUUUCCAGAGGAAGGCUCGUCCGCUCUGGGUUAGUCGGGUCCUAAGCUGAGGCCGACAGGCGUAGGCGAUGGAUAACAGGUUGAUAUUCCUGUACCACCUAUAAUCGUUUUAAUCGAUGGGGGGACGCAGUAGGAUAGGCGAAGCGUGCGAUUGGAUUGCACGUCUAAGCAGUAAGGCUGAGUAUUAGGCAAAUCCGGUACUCGUUAAGGCUGAGCUGUGAUGGGGAGAAGACAUUGUGUCUUCGAGUCGUUGAUUUCACACUGCCGAGAAAAGCCUCUAGAUAGAAAAUAGGUGCCCGUACCGCAAACCGACACAGGUAGUCAAGAUGAGAAUUCUAAGGUGAGCGAGCGAACUCUCGUUAAGGAACUCGGCAAAAUGACCCCGUAACUUCGGGAGAAGGGGUGCUCUUUAGGGUUCACGCCCAGAAGAGCCGCAGUGAAUAGGCCCAAGCGACUGUUUAUCAAAAACACAGGUCUCUGCUAAACCGUAAGGUGAUGUAUAGGGGCUGACGCCUGCCCGGUGCUGGAAGGUUAAGAGGAGUGGUUAGCUUCUGCGAAGCUACGAAUCGAAGCCCCAGUAAACGGCGGCCGUAACUAUAACGGUCCUAAGGUAGCGAAAUUCCUUGUCGGGUAAGUUCCGACCCGCACGAAAGGCGUAACGAUUUGGGCACUGUCUCAACGAGAGACUCGGUGAAAUCAUAGUACCUGUGAAGAUGCAGGUUACCCGCGACAGGACGGAAAGACCCCGUGGAGCUUUACUGUAGCCUGAUAUUGAAAUUCGGCACAGCUUGUACAGGAUAGGUAGGAGCCUUUGAAACGUGAGCGCUAGCUUACGUGGAGGCGCUGGUGGGAUACUACCCUAGCUGUGUUGGCUUUCUAACCCGCACCACUUAUCGUGGUGGGAGACAGUGUCAGGCGGGCAGUUUGACUGGGGCGGUCGCCUCCUAAAAGGUAACGGAGGCGCUCAAAGGUUCCCUCAGAAUGGUUGGAAAUCAUUCAUAGAGUGUAAAGGCAUAAGGGAGCUUGACUGCGAGACCUACAAGUCGAGCAGGGUCGAAAGACGGACUUAGUGAUCCGGUGGUUCCGCAUGGAAGGGCCAUCGCUCAACGGAUAAAAGCUACCCCGGGGAUAACAGGCUUAUCUCCCCCAAGAGUUCACAUCGACGGGGAGGUUUGGCACCUCGAUGUCGGCUCAUCGCAUCCUGGGGCUGUAGUCGGUCCCAAGGGUUGGGCUGUUCGCCCAUUAAAGCGGCACGCGAGCUGGGUUCAGAACGUCGUGAGACAGUUCGGUCCCUAUCCGUCGUGGGCGUAGGAAAUUUGAGAGGAGCUGUCCUUAGUACGAGAGGACCGGGAUGGACAUACCUCUGGUGUACCAGUUGUCGUGCCAACGGCAUAGCUGGGUAGCUAUGUGUGGACGGGAUAAGUGCUGAAAGCAUCUAAGCAUGAAGCCCCCCUCAAGAUGAGAUUUCCCAACUUCGGUUAUAAGAUCCCUCAAAGAUGAUGAGGUUAAUAGGUUCGAGGUGGAAGCAUGGUGACAUGUGGAGCUGACGAAUACUAAUCGAUCGAAGACUUAAUC
rnacentral:rRNA from 1 species